rnacentral:lncRNA from 1 species
GGGGAACAACUUGGUUUGCAUCGUUGAUGUGAAUCAACUUUUCUGCAUCGCGAAUUUGAAGAACCCAAGGGGGGUGAAUGAUGUUGUGGUGCUUGUUGUGGAGGAGGAUGGCGUGCAGAGGCUCGGGGAGUGAGUUCUGCGUGGACCACUGCAGAAGAUGGUGGUUUCACGCGAGGCUGUUAGCGAGGCGGAGCUGGGAGCAGCGACGGUGGAAAAGGUGCUGAAGCUGGUGGAGGCGGUGUCUCCGACGAGCGAGAGACGGUGAUGUUGAACAAGGUUCUGAAAGUGUGUGGCGAAAGAGAUUAGGUUUAAUUAUUUUAUAUUUUUGUCAGAAGUUAUAGUAUAAAUUAGGUUUAAUUAUUUAAAAC